GAUGAACGCUGGCGGCGUGCCUAAUACAUGCAAGUCGAGCGAACGGACGAGAAGCUUGCUCCCUUGAUGUUAGCGGCGGACGGGUGAGUAACACGUGGAUAACCUACCUAUAAGACUGGGAUAACUUCGGGAAACCGGAGCUAAUACCGGAUAAUAUUUUGAACCGCAUGGUUCAAAAGUGAAAGACGGUUUUGCCGUUACUUUUAGAUGGAUCCGCGCUGCAUUAGCUAGUUGGUAAGGUAACGGCUUACCAAGGCAACGAUGCAUAGCCGACCUGAGAGGGUGAUCGGCCACACUGGAACUGAGACACGGUCCAGACUCCUACGGGAGGCAGCAGUAGGGAAUCUUCCGCAAUGGGCGAAAGCCUGACGGAGCAACGCCGCGUGAGUGAUGAAGGUCUUCGGAUCGUAAAACUCUGUUAUUAGGGAAGAACAUAUGUGUAAGUAACUGUGCACAUCUUGACGGUACCUAAUCAGAAAGCCACGGCUAACUACGUG
rnacentral:rRNA from 1 species